GACGAACGCUGGCGGCGUGCUUAACACAUGCAAGUCGAACGGAAAGGCCCUUCGGGGUACUCGAGUGGCGAACGGGUGAGUAACACGUGGGUGAUCUGCCCUGCACUUUGGGAUAAGCCCGGGAAACUGGGUCUAAUACCGAAUAGGACCACGCGCUUCAUGGUGUGUGGUGGAAAGCUUUUGCGGUGUGGGAUGGGCCCGCGGCCUAUCAGCUUGUUGGUGGGGUAAUGGCCUACCAAGGCGACGACGGGUAGCCGGCCUGAGAGGGUGACCGGCCACACUGGGACUGAGAUACGGCCCAGACUCCUACGGGAGGCAGCAGUGGGGAAUAUUGCACAAUGGGCGCAAGCCUGAUGCAGCGACGCCGCGUGAGGGAUGACGGCCUUCGGGUUGUAAACCUCUUUCAAUAGGGACGAAGCGCAAGUGACGGUACCUAUAGAAGAAGCACCGGCCAACUACGUGCCAGCAGCCGCGGUAAUACGUAGGGUGCGAGCGUUGUCCGGAAUUACUGGGCGUAAAGAGCUCGUAGGUGGUUUGUCGCGUUGUUCGUGAAAACUCGCAGCUUAACUGUGGGCGUGCGGGCGAUACGGGCAGACUAGAGUACUGCAGGGGAGACUGGAAUUCCUGGUGUAGCGGUGGAAUGCGCAGAUAUCAGGAGGAACACCGGUGGCGAAGGCGGGUCUCUGGGCAGUAACUGACGCUGAGGAGCGAAAGCGUGGGGAGCGAACAGGAUUAGAUACCCUGGUAGUCCACGCCGUAAACGGUGGGUACUAGGUGUGGGUUCCUUCCUUGGGAUCCGUGCCGUAGCUAACGCAUUAAGUACCCCGCCUGGGGAGUACGGCCGCAAGGCUAAAACUCAAAGGAAUUGACGGGGGCCCGCACAAGCGGCGGAGCAUGUGGAUUAAUUCGAUGCAACGCGAAGAACCUUACCUGGGUUUGACAUGCACAGGACGCCGGCAGAGAUGUCGGUUCCCUUGUGGCCUGUGUGCAGGUGGUGCAUGGCUGUCGCCAGCUCGUGUCGUGAGAUGUUGGGUUAAGUCCCGCAACGAGCGCAACCCUUGUCCUAUGUUGCCAGCGGGUUAUGCCGGGGACUCGUAGGAGACUGCCGGGGUCAACUCGGAGGAAGGUGGGGAUGACGUCAAGUCAUCAUGCCCCUUAUGUCCAGGGCUUCACACAUGCUACAAUGGCCGGUACAAAGGGCUGCGAUGCCGUGAGGUGGAGCGAAUCCUUUCAAAGCCGGUCUCAGUUCGGAUCGGGGUCUGCAACUCGACCCCGUGAAGUCGGAGUCGCUAGUAAUCGCAGAUCAGCAACGCUGCGGUGAAUACGUUCCCGGGCCU
rnacentral:rRNA from 1 species